rnacentral:rRNA from 1 species
AAAGGUGAAAUUAAAUUGUUGUUUUGUAACAAAAAUUUGUAGUCGAAGCUGAAAAAAUUAAAGUAAAAACUAGGAUUAGAUACCCUAUUAUUAAAAUUAUAAAAUAUAUAUAACCCGGUUAGUAAUAGUUAUUUACUUAAAAACUAAAAAAUUUGGCGGUAAUUUAAUCUUCUCAGAGGAAUUUGUUUCUUAAUCGAUAAACCACGAAGUAUCUUGCUUAAGUUUGUAUACCAUCAUUAUCAGGUAAUUUUAAAAGAAAGAAUUGCUUAAAUUAAUGUUUAUUAAAAAAAUUAGAUCAUGGUGCAGCUUAUGAAUAAGUUGAAAUGGAUUACAAUAAAUUAUUUUAUUUACGGAUUUAUAAUAAUGAAGGAGGAUUUGGUUGUAUUACAAGUUUAAUAAGCUUGUAAGAUAUAUAGGCUCUAAAUUAUGUACAUAUCGCCCGUCGCUUUC